GUGGGGAAUCUUGCGCAAUGGGCGAAAGCCUGACGCAGCCAUGCCGCGUGGAUGAUGAAGGUCUUAGGAUUGUAAAAUCCUUUCACCGGUGAAGAUAAUGACUGUAGCCGGAGAAGAAGCCCCGGCUAACUUCGUGCCAGCAGCCGCGGUAAUACGAAGGGGGCUAGCGUUGCUCGGAAUUACUGGGCGUAAAGGGAGCGUAGGCGGACAUUUAAGUCAGGGGUGAAAUCCCGAGGCUCAACCUCGGAACUGCCUUUGAUACUGGGUGUCUUGAGUGUGAGAGAGGGGAGUGGAACUCCGAGUGUAGAGGUGAAAUUCGUAGAUAUUCGGAAGAACACCAGUGGCGAAGGCGACUCACUGGCUCAUUACUGACGCUGAGGCUCGAAAGCGUGGGGAGCAAACAGGAUUAGAAACCCCGGUAGUCC
rnacentral:rRNA from 1 species